rnacentral:rRNA from 1 species
AUGAACACCGGUGAGUCUACGGCCAAUUUGGUGAGGACGGCGUUGCGUCGAAUAAGUUGGCUUCGGUCUCUCUCUCACCACGACAACGUCGAAGAGCCGAUGGCCUUGUCUUCUUGUCGUUUGCUCAAGGCGACGAGCUUUAGGUCCCUUGUGUUUGCUUGUUGUUUGUAUAUGUGGCACAAACAAAGAGGAGAAGAUGGUAUUCCUGGAGCACGGUUAGAAGAGCGUUGGCAGUGGCUCUGGUGUUCUCCCUGGCAUGGAUGGAGAGAGGCAACAGAUCCGGAUCCAGGACGACGUGGGGAAUUUCCUCCCUUGACAUGCUACAUCGACAAGCGCCUUUUUGCAGACCCGGCCAUCGACCCAUAA